rnacentral:rRNA from 1 species
GCUAUGUAAAAGGUGGCUAUGCUACCGCUUUUGGAUGGGCCCGCGGCGCAUUAGCUAGUUGGUGGGGUAAAGGCUUACCAAGGCAAUGAUGCGUAGCCGAACUGAGAGGUUGAUCGGCCACAUUGGGACUGAGACACGGCCCAAACUCCUACGGGAGGCAGCAGUAGGGAAUCUUCCACAAUGGGCGAAAGCCUGAUGGAGCAACGCCGCGUGGGUGAAGAAGGUCUUCGGAUCGUAAAACCCUGUUGUUAGAGAAGAAAGUGCGUGAGAGUAACUGUUCACGUUUCGACGGUAUCUAACCAGAAAGCCACGGCUAACUACGUGCCAGCAGCCGCGGUAAUACGUAGGUGGCAAGCGUUAUCCGGAUUUAUUGGGCGUAAAGGGAACGCAGGCGGUCUUUUAAGCCUGAUGUGAAAGCCUUCGGCUUAACCGGAGU